GGGGGGCUGGCGCAACGGUAGCGCGUCAGAUUCCAGUUAUGUUUUCAUAGCUUGACUCCUGAAGGUUAUCAGUUCAAAUCUGGUGUCCCUCA